GGAGUUUGGAAGGGUGAAAAAAAUGUCUCCGGAGACAUCGUCCAGGGAGGGCAGGUAGUGUUGGUCUGAUGGUGAGCAGAGAAGAGGACAACCCUGACCUCUCACAACAUAGCUGAGCUUCACCUCAGGGACCACCGGAGCAGGGAGCAGUCUUAUUCUCCUCGUCUUCCUCCUAGAUCCCGCUGCCUUUGACGUGAGAGCGCUGGGUGGAACAAUGGAGUGUGCUAACACGGCAACCUCCACCACCCCACCACCACCAGUCGAGUCCCGUCCUGCACGGGGCCAGGCUCCUCGCCUCUGCCUCCUAUCUCCGGCAGGAUAUGACGGUUUGGAGUACCUUCCGAAAUUCCUCGGACCACCAGAUGGGGCUUAUGCCAAAGAGAGACAUUACAUUUCUGUUUUAUAUUCAUCAAAUAAAUGUCAUCUUAAAUUUCACUCAAGUCUGCGAGUCUUCCUGAUAGAAUUAUUAUUAUUUCAAAUUUUAAUUUAGUUAUUAUUUCUACUUCAUUUUCAAUUUGUCCAUUCAAUUUAAUUUAGUUUUAUCUAAAAUUAUGGGUGAAAUACAUUUACUGUAAUUAAUUAAAUACAUUUAAUAAAUGGUAAUAUUAAUUCUAUUUGUUUCCCUGUCUCAACCUCGACUCCACUGCUACGUGUCUCUGAGUGAUGACAACUAAUAGCAGCCGGUGCCUGCCAGACAUCACUUCAGUCUAUUACAAUGGACUUCAGAGGAUGAACUGAUGCCAACUCCAACCAUAAGACAUGAGAUACUUCAUAUGCCAUUGCCUGAACCUUGGAUUUAGGAUAGACCUCACCGAAAUUACCGACCGGUUGAACUGCAAAGCACCUCACCGAUCUCUGCCUGCAUCACCUCAGUCUAAUGAUGGACUACACUCUUAAAAUGGAAUACAUAGACUAUCAAUUAAUUGCCAACAAAACCCUUCAUCAGCCAGCUAACAAGGACAAUGCAUCUUUAUGAUCAUCUGUUUUGAACACUGGCCCUUAACACUUACUUAGUUUAAUAAUUUUAAACCAUGACUUGCACUAUACAUAAGUAAUAUUAGCAUUAUAUUCAUGAUGCUAGCCAGAGGGGAACUGGCCCCCACAGUGAGCCUGGUUUCCCCCAAGGUUAUUUUUCUCCAUUAACCAACAUCUUAUGGAGUUUUGUGUUCCUUGCCACAGUUGCCUUCGGCUUGAUCACUGGGGUUAUAAAUACAAUUAUUAUUUAAUUACUUAUUUUUAAUCACAAUUCACAUUUGUAUUUUAUCAAACUACACAAUGACAAAUCUAAGACAUUACAGAUAUUACAGUUUAAUUUUAUUGUUAAUGCCAGAUCUUCUGUAAAGCUGCUUUGAACCAAUGUGUGUUGUGAAAGGUGAUAUACAAAU